UGGGAACGAGAAGACACUCAUGAAGGAGUC
rnacentral:piRNA from 1 species